CUGAGACUUCAGCGGAAAGAAACGGGGGCUCAGGGUUGUCCGGAUGGGGCCAUGGCGGAUGCUGGAGGUGGGGAUCUGGAAGCGGGGUGUCCUCGCGAUUGGUUAGGGGAGCAUUUUGGCUUUCUCUGGUUGGUCCCAAGUUGGAAGGAAGGACAGAAAUUGGGGAAGCUGUCAGUUACUGAUCACGUUCUGGCCAUCUGGGGCUGAGUGUCACGGGGUGGUUGUGCGGCCUCCUGGACCAGUUGCUGGAGAUGCUGGUCUGACUUCCUGCAACUCUGACUUGUGGCACGCUGGCUUCCCGGCCGGUCGCUGCAGGUGGGGGGCCGGGCUCGUGCGCCGGCAGUCGCGGGUAGGGGGCGGCCGCAGGGCGUGGGUACAGGUCCAUCCUUACAGGUGGCCUGGCCCUGGUCUGUUUCCACCUGCAGUCUCUCUAGCAAGCCCCCGGGGCCCUAGGACGUUCCGCUGUCGCAUUUCCUUCACUGUUGGAGGGAGAGCAGUACAUUCUCCAGCAACAUUAAAAGAACAGCGAUUGACCCCGCCGGGCCCGGCCAGCGCCUCGGGCCUGUCUCCCAGCCGUGCCUGCGCCGCCGCACGUUCCGCGCGCACUACACCCCUCCCAGGCGCGCCCCAAGACGCGCUCCAUGCCUCAGUUUCCCGCCCCCUGAAGCGUGCCCAGGGCGUCCACCACUCCUCGCCCCGGACCCCGCCCCUCGCCACGCCUGCGCACGCGCGCCCCGCGCCGCACGUCUCACCCCGCGCACGCGCCGCACGCGCCGCACGCGUUCCCCCGCAGGCCCCGCCCCGCGGCCAAUGGGCGACGCCGCCGCUUAUCUGGCGUGCGUCGCCGGCGCAUCCAUCAGUCGCGGCCCUGGGCUGACGCAGCCCGAGCCCCUGGGCCGGCGCUCCUGCUCCCCCGCCUGACCGCGGCCCGCCGGCCGCAGCGCCCUCGCGCGCGCCAUGUCGCAGAGCGGGACCCCCGGACUGCAGGAGGAGAACCUGCAGGGUGAGCUG
rnacentral:lncRNA from 1 species